rnacentral:rRNA from 1 species
UACGAAGGGGACUAGCGUUGUUCGGAAUCACUGGGCGUAAAGCGCACGUAGGCGGAUUUGUAAGUCAGGGGUGAAAUCCCGGGGCUCAACCUCGGAACUGCCUCUGAUACUAUAAGUCUCGAGUCCGAUAGAGGUGGGUAGAAUUCCUAGUGUAGAGGUGAAAUUCGUAGAUAUUAGGAAGAAUACCGGUGGCGAAGGCGGCCCACUGGAUCGGUACUGACGCUGAGGUGCGAAAGCGUGGGGAGCAAACAGG